UACAGAGGAUGCAAGCGUUAUCCGGAAUGAUUGGGCGUAAAGCGUCUGUAGGUGGCUUUUAAGUCCGCCGUCAAAUCCCAGGGCUCAACUCUGGACAGGCGGUGGAAACUACCAAGCUGGAGUACGGUAGGGCAGAGGGAAUUUCCGGUGGAGCGGUGAAAUGCGUAGAGAUCGGAAAGAACACCAACGGCGAAAGCACUCUGCUGGGCCAUUACUGACACUGAGAGACGAAAGCUAGGGGAGCAAAUGGG
rnacentral:rRNA from 1 species